rnacentral:rRNA from 1 species
UAGGGAAUCUUCGGCAAUGGACGGAAGUCUGACCGAGCAACGCCGCGUGAGUGAAGAAGGUUUUCGGAUCGUAAAGCUCUGUUGUAAGAGAAGAACGAGUGUGAGAGUGGAAAGUUCACACUGUGACGGUAUCUUACCAGAAAGGGACGGCUAACUACGUGCCAGCAGCCGCGGUAAUACGUAGGUCCCGAGCGUUAUCCGGAAUUAUUGGGCGUAAAGCGCGUGUAGGCGGUUUUUUAAGUCUGAUGUGAAAGCCCACGGCUCAACCGUGGAGGGUCAUUGGAAACUGGAAAACUUGAGUGCAGAAGAGGAAAGUGGAAUUCCAUGUGUAGCGGUGAAAUGCGCAGAGAUAUGGAGGAACACCAGUGGCGAAGGCGACUUUCUGGUCUGUAACUGACGCUGAUGUGCGAAAGCGUGGGGAUCAAACAGGAUUAGAUACCCUGGUAGUCCACGCCGUAAACGAUGAGUGCUAAGUGUUAGGGGGUUUCCGCCCCUUAGUGCUGCAGCUAACGCAUUAAGCACUCCGCCUGGGGAGUACGACCGCAAGGUUG